rnacentral:rRNA from 1 species
AUUGAACGCUGGCGGCAUGCCUUACACAUGCAAGUCGAGCGGCAGCGCGGGGGCAACCCUGGCGGCGAGCGGCGAACGGGUGAGUAAUACAUCGGAACGUGUCCAGUAGUGGGGGAUAACCAGUCGAAAGAUUGGCUAAUACCGCAUACGAUCUACGGAUGAAAGCGGGGGACCGCAAGGCCUCGCGCUAUUGGAGCGGCCGAUGUCGGAUUAGCUAGUUGGUGGGGUAAAAGCCCACCAAGGCGACGAUCCGUAGCUGGUCUGAGAGGACGAUCAGCCACACUGGAACUGAGACACGGUCCAGACUCCUACGGGAGGCAGCAGUGGGGAAUUUUGGACAAUGGGGGCAACCCUGAUCCAGCCAUGCCGCGUGAGUGAAGAAGGCCUUCGGGUUGUAAAGCUCUUUCGGCGGGGACGAAACGGUUUGCGCCAACACCGCAAACUAAUGACGGUACUCGCAGAAGAAGCACCGGCUAACUACGUGCCAGCCGCCGCAGUAA